UCUUGGUCAUUUAGAGGAAGUAAAAGUCGUAACAAGGUUUCCGUAGGUGAACCUGCGGAAGGAUCAUUAAUGAAAUUGAACGUCCGGGAAGGGGUUGUUGCUGGCUCUUUUUGCAUGUGCACGCCCUCGACCGGAAUCGUUUAUCCUUUGUUUCACACCUGUGCACGAUCUGUAGCUGGGGGGAUGAUUACGGUGUUCUCCUUGAACUCUGAAUGCCCCUCGCUAUGAACGCUUUUCAAUACACCCUUUUAAAGUUUUUAUGAACGUCUUUGCCAUGCGUGUAACAACGCGAAUGAAAUACAACUUUCAGCAACGGAUCUCUUGGCUCUCACAUCGAUGAAGAACGCAGCGAAAUGCGAUAAGUAAUGUGAAUUGCAGAAUUCAGUGAAUCAUCGAAUCUUUGAACGCACCUUGCGCUCCUUGGUAUUCCGAGGAGCAUGCCUGUUUGAGUGUCGUGAAAUUCUCAACUGCUUUGGCUUUGUUCAAAGUGAAGUUGGACUUUGGAGGGUUUGUCGGCGUGCACGACUCCUCCUAAAAGCAUGAAGCCUUUUCUUUGCCAGAUCUCUUGGCGCAAAGUAUCUUUGACGUGAUAACUGUCUACGUCGCAGAGAAAGCCUUGAGCAGAGAGCAUCCUCUUUUGAAAGGGGAGUGUUUUCGACAAGGACGGGGUUUGUUGCAUGAGGCACUUAUGGGGCCUCACUUUGACCAAUUCGACCUCAAAUCAGGCAGGACUACCCGCUGAACUUAAGCAUAUCAAUAAGCGGAGGAA
rnacentral:rRNA from 1 species